rnacentral:lncRNA from 1 species
AACAGCCCAAACAACACACGCCACGAUCCAGGGCGGGCAUACCGGUGAAAUGAUGAUGGGUGAUGAUAUCUUACGGCAACAAUGGACACCUAUUGGGGGCUCUCUCUUUGUUUACCUGGAGAAUACAGGGCAGGACAUACACCCCUUUCUCUGGCUGGGAAAUUCUUCAAGAAAACUUUUAUUAUGACUAAGUGAAACCAUUCUGAGGGGAAUCACCUCCUUUCAGCUUUAAAAUAUCCAGAUCCAAAAUGACCGUGAGAUGUGGAAGCAGACCGGGGACUAGGAAAUCAGAGAAGGAUUUUGUUGUCACUCAGACACCUGGAAAGCCUAUUCAAAAAAUGGUCCUCAUCCCAAGGAACCUACUAGACUCCUCUCCAUCUCUCUCUAACAUGAACAAGGAGCAUCUUGAUCAAGAGCUGCAGACAGACUGAGGAUUUACCUGAAUCUGGAGUAGAGUUGACUGUUGGAAAGGAUCAGACAGCGAGGACCGUGUAUGCCGCGGCGGAGCCCUGGCCACAAGAGUGGGGAGAACUUCCCCGUGGAUGAUGUGGAGGACUCCCUGGGGACUGCGAAUGCUGCCCUGGGCAGAUCUAACUCCUCUGAUUUUUUUUCUUUUAUUUCUUUUGAACAUCGGUGAGGACCUAAGGUGGAAAUAUGUGUCUAUUUUGGGCUGGAGUAGUUAAGAAACAGAGAUGCUCUUCCCCAGGUCCAGGACUUCAUGAAACAGGGGGUGACAGCUUCCUGUUUUCUUCAUUCUUUUUGGCUCUGAGCUCGUGCUGUUGCUGAAGCAGAAAGCAUCCCUGAAGGCACUGGAGAUUUGAGGAAAUCGCAGGAAGAAUGACACUUCAAUUCCACAGAAAAGAAAAAUCCAAAUGAAUGUUAGAUUUUCCUAAAAUGUCUCAAAAUGUCCCUCUGCCACUUUUACAGCUCCAUCUCUAAUCUCUGAAUAUCUGCACUUUGGCCAUCUCUUUGGUCUACUUGUCUCUUGUCAAUCAUGAGUUUGGUGUCACACUGUC